GCCCCCUUUUGAGAUACAUAUAUGCUGUGUAAAGAAAUCGAUAUAGAAACACUUUAACAGACAAUCCAGAUAUUGACCUAAUUUUUCAUCCGACAUCUUGGGAUGACCGUGAAUGCGGUUUCGGUCAUCAGCUUUAACCCAGUGAUAUUGACAUCUACAUUAAUGUGUAUGUGGGUGUUUGUCUCUUAGUGGUCGUAAUAUUCU
rnacentral:lncRNA from 1 species